rnacentral:rRNA from 1 species
ACAGAGGGUGCAAGCGUUGUUCGGAAUUAUUGGGCGUAAAGGGCGCGUAGGCGGUGCGGUAAGUCUGUAGUGAAAUCUCUGGGCUCAACUCAGAGUCUGCUAUAGAAACUGCCGUGCUCGAGUGUGGGAGAGGUGAGUGGAAUUCCCGGUGUAGCGGUGAAAUGCGUAGAGAUCGGGAGGAACAUCAGUGGCGAAGGCGGCCAUCUGGGACAACACUGACGCUGAAGCACGAAAGCGUGGGGAGCAAACAGGA